GGGGUCUCCAGAUUAGAGGGGUGUCUCAGUAGGCCCCGCAGAGGAAAGGUUGAGAGCCCCUGGCAGCCAUAGAAACGGAUCCUGAUUGUUGGAGAAGACUGCGAGCAACAAUCCAUCUGAGGUUUAGAGAGAGGGAGGAGAGGAAGGAGAAGAGAAGAGGACCAGACAAGACAUUCACAUUGUAGUUAUGUCACACACUCUUAUCCAGAGCAACGUACAGUCCUUCCAUUAUAGUUACACGUCUUCUCAACUGCAAAGGAAAGUGAGGUCAUGUGAGCACUAGGAAGGUCCCGUUGGUGAGUUGUCUCCAGUCCACACAGAGGCCUGCUUUCUUACACUCCUCAGCAGCCUGCUCCAGAGGAGAACAAGCCAUGUCGUUCCUACCACACGAAUCAAACCUACAGUUCUUCUCAAGCUGGCUCAGAUUCACCCGCCUUCUGCAAUCUGCAAAAACUCUGUAAUGAGACAUACCAACAGACUGAUCAACAUACAGGAAAACCAAUAGUUUUACAACACAACAAAAUCACUUUGUAUGUUGCAUGGUUUUGUCUCAGUAUAAUGUAUAAUGUUGUCGCAGCAACAUUGAAUGAAACGCCACAGAUUUUUGACCAUUUGGGAGAUCAUCAUGUGAAAUAAAUCAUAUUGAAUUGA